rnacentral:tRNA from 1 species
CGUAGCUCAGUUGGUUAGAGCACAUCACUCAUAAUGAUGGGGUCGUCAUAGGUUCGAGUCCUGUUACCCCAGCCA